rnacentral:rRNA from 1 species
UACGAGGGGGGCGAGCGUUGUUCGGAAUUAUUGGGCGUAAAGGGUGCGUAGGCGGUUUGGUAAGUCUUAUGUGAAAUCUACAGGCUCAACUUGUAGUCUGCAUGAGAAACUGCCGGGCUUGAGUAUGGGAGAGGUGAGUGGAAUUCCUGGUGUAGCGGUGAAAUGCGUAGAUAUCAGGAGGAACACCUGUGGCGAAAGCGGCUCACUGGACCAUAACUGACGCUGAUGCACGAAAGCUAGGGGAGCAAAUAGG